CCUACGGGGGGCAGCAGUCGAGAAUCAUUCACAAUGGGGGAAACCCUGAUGGUGCGACGCCGCGUGGGGGAAUGAAGGUCUUCGGAUUGUAAACCCCUGUCAUGUGGGAGCAAAUUAAAAAGAUAGUACCACAAGAGGAAGAGACGGCUAACUCUGUGCCAGCAGCCGCGGUAAUACAGAGGUCUCAAGCGUUGUUCGGAAUCACUGGGCGUAAAGAGUUCGUAGGUGGCACGUUAAGUCUGGUGUUAAAGGCGGAAGCUCAACUUCCGUAGGGCAGUGUAUACUGGCGAGCUUGAAUGCGGUAGAGGUAAAGGGAAGUCCUGGUGUAGCGGUGAAAUGCGUAGAUAUCAGGAGGAACAUCGGGGGCGUAAGCGCUUUACUGGGCCGUAAUUGACACUGAGGAACGAAAGCCGGGGUAGCAAAUGGGAUUAGAUACCCCUGUAGUC
rnacentral:rRNA from 1 species